rnacentral:rRNA from 1 species
GCUUACGGCCACACCGGCCUGAGUACGGCCUGAUCUCGUCCGAUCUCGGAAGCUAAGCAGAGUCGGGCCUGGUUAGUACUGGAUGGGAGACCGCCUGGGGAAUACCAGGUGCUGUAAGCU